rnacentral:rRNA from 1 species
GAUGAACGCUGGCGGCGUGCCUAAUACAUGCAAGUCGAGCGAAUGGAUUGAGAGCUUGCUCUCGAGAAGUUAGCGGCGGACGGGUGAGUAACACGUGGGUAACCUGCCCAUAAGACUGGGAUAACUCCGGGAAACCGGGGCUAAUACCGGAUAACAUUUUGAACCGCAUGGUUCGAAAUUGAAAGGCGGCUUCGGCUGUCACUUAUGGAUGGACCCGCGUCGCAUUAGCUAGUUGGUGAGGUAACGGCUCACCAAGGCAACGAUGCGUAGCCGACCUGAGAGGGUGAUCGGCCACACUGGGACUGAGACACGGCCCAGACUCCUACGGGAGGCAGCAGUAGGGAAUCUUCCGCAAUGGACGAAAGUCUGACGGAGCAACGCCGCGUGAGUGAUGAAGGCUUUCGGGUCGUAAAACUCUGUUGUUAGGGAAGAACAAGUGCUAGUUGAAUAAGCUGGCACCUUGACGGUACCUAACCAGAAAGCCACGGCUAACUACGUGCCAGCAGCCGCGGUAAGAC